rnacentral:rRNA from 1 species
GACGAACGCUGGCGGCGUGCCUAAUACAUGCAAGUAGAACGCACAGUUUAUACCGUAGCUUGCUACACCAUAAACUGUGAGUUGCGAACGGGUGAGUAACGCGUAGGUAACCUGCCUGGUAGCGGGGGAUAACUAUUGGAAACGAUAGCUAAUACCGCAUAAUAUUGAUUAUUGCAUGAUAAUUGAUUGAAAGAUGCUAUUGCAUCACUACCAGAUGGACCUGCGUUGUAUUGGCUAGUAGGUGAGGUAACGGCUCACCUAGGCGACGAUACAUAGCCGACCUGAGAGGGUGAUCGGCCACACUGGGACUGAGACACGGCCCAGACUCCUACGGGAGGCAGCAGUAGGGAAUCUUCGGCAAUGGACGAAAGUCUGACCGAGCAACGCCGCGUGAGUGAAGAAGGUUUUCGGAUCGUAAAGCUCUGUUGUAAGAGAAGAACGGGUGUGAGAGUGGAAAGUUCACACUGUGACGGUAUCUUACCAGAAAGGGACGGCUAACUACGUG